rnacentral:rRNA from 1 species
UACAGAGGUCUCAAGCGUUGUUCGGAUUCAUUGGGCGUAAAGGGUGCGUAGGUGGCGCGCUAAGUCAGGUGUGAAAUUUCGGAGCUUAACUCCGAAACUGCAUUUGAUACUGGCGUGCUUGAGGACUGGAGAGGAGACUGGAAUUCAUGGUGUAGCAGUGAAAUGCGUAGAGAUCAUGAGGAACACCUGAGGUGAAGACGGGUUGCUGGGCCAACACUGACGCUGAGGCGCGAAAGCCAGGGGAGCAAACGGG